GACGAACGCUGGCGGCGUGCUUAACACAUGCAAGUCGAACGGAAAGGCCCUGCUUUUGUGGGGUGCUCGAGUGGCGAACGGGUGAGUAACACGUGAGUAACCUGCCCUUGACUUUGGGAUAACUUCAGGAAACUGGGGCUAAUACCGGAUAGGAGCUCCUGCUGCAUGGUGGGGGUUGGAAAGUUUCGGCGGUUGGGGAUGGACUCGCGGCUUAUCAGCUUGUUGGUGGGGUAGUGGCUUACCAAGGCUUUGACGGGUAGCCGGCCUGGGAGGGUAACCGGCCCCAUUGGGCCUGAGAUACGGCCCAGACCCCUCCGGGAGGCAGGAGUGGGGAGUAGUGCACAAUGGGCGGAGCCCUGAUGCAGCAACGCCGCGUGCGGUAUGUCGUCCUUCGGGUUGUAAUCCGCUUUCGCCUUUGACGAGGCGUGAGUGACGGUAAUGGGUAAAGAAGCACCGGCUAACUACGU
rnacentral:rRNA from 1 species